GACGAACGCUGGCGGCGUGCCUAACACAUGCAAGUCGAGCGGGAACCUCAGGAGGGGUAACCCUUCUGAGGGGAGAGCGGCGAACGGGUGAGUAACACGUGGGCAACCUGCCCCGGACACCGGGAUAACCCAGGGAAACCUGAGCUAAUACCGGAUACUCCGGCGUGAUCGCAUGGUCGCGCCGGGAAAGCUCCGACGGUCCGGGAUGGGCCCGCGGCCUAUCAGCUUGUUGGUGGGGUAACGGCCCACCAAGGCGACGACGGGUAGCUGGUCUGAGAGGACGGCCAGCCACACUGGGACUGAGACACGGCCCAGACUCCUACGGGAGGCAGCAGUGGGGGAUCUUGCGCUAAUGCGCGAAAGCGUGACGCAGCGACGCCGCGUGGGGGAUGAAGGCCCUCGGGUUGUAAACCCCUUUCGGCAGGGACGAAGGGAAACUGACGGUACCUGCAGAAGAAGUCCCGGCUAACUACGUGC
rnacentral:rRNA from 1 species